rnacentral:rRNA from 1 species
AUACGAAGGGGGCUAGCGUUGUUCGGAAUUACUGGGCGUAAAGCGCGCGUAGGCGGAUACUUAAGUCAGGGGUGAAAUCCCGAGGCUCAACCUCGGAACUGCCCUUGAUACUGGGUAUCUUGAGUUCGAGAGAGGUAAGUGGAAUUCCGAGUGUAGAGGUGAAAUUCGUAGAUAUUCGGAGGAACACCAGAGGCGAAGGCGGCUUACUGGCUCGAUACUGACGCUGAGGCGCGAAAGCGUGGGGAGCAAACAGGAUUAGAAACCCGAGUAGUCC